rnacentral:misc_RNA from 1 species
UCUCCGUUGGUGAACCAGCGGAGGGAUCAUUACAGGACUCGCAAGACUCCUACAACCCUGUGAACUUAACUAUAAGCACGUUGCUUCGGCGGGUGUCUCGGAGGGGGUUCUUCCUCCCCGAGACGCUAAACCCGCCGGCAGCCUACUAUACUCUGUCUCUUUGCGUUGGCAUCUCGAGUACAAUCAAACAAGUUAAAACUUUCAACAACGGAUCUCUUGGUUCUG